GUUUAAAUCGCUAGAGGGACUUCUUUUCAGAACCCCAGAUGAAAGCUAGAAUCAGAUAACUUAAACAAGAGCUAACAAUACAACACAUUUUCAGUAGAAUGACAAAACAGAGAAAAAAUAAUAUUGUGGAAGGGAACACAGAGGAGAGAGAGGGAGACCGACAGAGAGAGGUUAGUGCCAGGGAGACACAUUCGCAGAUAUUGCUUCUUAUAAUCUUUCCUCUUUGGGAUAACCUUCCUGUCGCAUUUUAACUCAUUCCAAAGUGAAUGCUGUCUUGCCUAGAUUUGGAUCUAGAGGAAUGUUAAAACAAACAAACAAAAAAAGACUUCCUUAAAAUAAAACCAAAACAGGUUAUUUGGUUCUGCAAAUCAGCCUAU
rnacentral:lncRNA from 1 species